AAUAUUGGACAAUGGGCGAAAGCGUGAUACAGCCAUGCCGCGCGUGUGAAGAAGGUCUACGGAGUGUAAAGUACUUUAAGUUGGGAGGAAGGGCAGCAAGUUAAUACCUGGCUGAUUUGACGGUACGGACAGAAUAAGCACUGGAUACAUUCGUGUCAUCAGCCGCGGUAAGACGUUGCGUGCAAGCGUUAAUCGGAAUUAGUUGGCGUAAAUCGCGCGUAGGUGGUUUGUUAAGUUGGAAGCGCAAGCCCCGGGCUCAACCUGGGAACUGCUUUCAAAACUGGCAAGCUAGAGUAUGGCAGAGGGUGGUGGAAUUUCCUGUGUAGCGGUGAAAUGCGUAGAUAUAGGAAGGAACACCAGUGGCGAAGGCGACCACCUGGGCUAAUACUGACACUGAGGUGCGAAAGCGUGGGGAGCAAACA
rnacentral:rRNA from 1 species